rnacentral:rRNA from 1 species
GGCAUGCUGGAGGUAUCAGAAGUGCGAAUGCUGACAUAAGUAACGAUAAAGCGGGUGAAAAGCCCGCUCGCCGGAAGACCAAGGGUUCCUGUCCAACGUUAAUCGGGGCAGGGUGAGUCGACCCCUAAGGCGAGGCCGAAAGGCGUAGUCGAUGGGAAACAGGUUAAUAUUCCUGUACUUGGUGUUACUGCGAAGGGGGGACGGAGAAGGCUAUGUUGGCCGGGCGACGGUUGUCCCGGUUUAAGCGUGUAGGCUGGUUUUCCAGGCAAAUCCGGAAAAUCAAGGCUGAGGCGUGAUGACGAGGCACUACGGUGCUGAAGCAACAAAUGCCCUGCUUCCAGGAAAAGCCUCUAAGCAUCAGGUAACAUCAAAUCGUACCCCAAACCGACACAGGUGGUCAGGUAGAGAAUACCAAGGCGCUUGAGAGAACUCGGGUGAAGGAACUAGGCAAAAUGGUGCCGUAACUUCGGGAG